rnacentral:rRNA from 1 species
UACGAAGGGAGCUAGCGUUGUUCGGAAUUACUGGGCGUAAAGCGCGCGUAGGUGGUUUUGCAAGUCAGAGGUGAAAUCCCCAGGCUUAACCUGGGAAUUGCCUUUGAAACUGCAAAACUUGAGUACUGGAGGGGAUGGUGGAAUUUCUAAUGUAGCGGUGAAAUGCGUAGAUAUUAGAAGGAACACCGGUGGCGAAGGCGACCAUCUGGACAGUAACUGACACUGAGGCGCGAAAGCGUGGGGAUCAAACAGG